rnacentral:rRNA from 1 species
AGAGUUUGAUCAUGGCUCAGAUUGAACGCUGGCGGCAGGCCUAACACAUGCAAGUCGAGCGGUAGCACAGGAGAGCUUGCUCUCUGGGUGACGAGCGGCGGACGGGUGAGUAAUGUCUGGGAAACUGCCUGAUGGAGGGGGAUAGCUACUGGAAACGGUAGCUAAUACCGCAUAACGUCUUCGGACCAAAGUGGGGGACCUUCGGGCCUCACGCCAUCAGAUGUGCCCAGAUGGGAUUAGCUAGUAGGUGGGGUAAUGGCUCACCUAGGCGACGAUCCCUAGCUGGUCUGAGAGGAUGACCAGCCACACUGGAACUGAGACACGGUCCAGACUCCUACGGGAGGCAGCAGUGGGGAAUAUUGCACAAUGGGCGCAAGCCUGAUGCAGCCAUGCCGCGUGUGUGAAGAAGGCCUUCGGGUUGUAAAGCACUUUCAGCGAGGAGGAAGGGUAGUGUGUUAAUAGCACAUUGCAUUGACGUUACUCGCAGAAGAAGCACCGGCUAACUCCGUGCCAGCAGCCGCGGUAAUACGGAGGGUGCAAGCGUUAAUCGGAAUUACUGGGCGUAAAGCGCACGCAGGCGGUUUGUUAAGUCAGAUGUGAAAUCCCCGCGCUUAACGUGGGAACUGCAUUUGAAACUGGCAAGCUAGAGUCUUGUAGAGGGGGGUAGAAUUCCAGGUGUAGCGGUGAAAUGCGUAGAGAUCUGGAGGAAUACCGGUGGCGAAGGCGGCCCCCUGGACAAAGACUGACGCUCAGGUGCGAAAGCGUGGGGAGCAAACAGGAUUAGAUACCCCGGUAGUCCAA